rnacentral:rRNA from 1 species
UGUAGGCGGCCCGGCAAGUUGGAUGUGAAAGCUCCCGGCUUAACUGGGAGAGGUCGUUCAAAACUGCCGAGCUAGAGUAUGAGAGAGGGAGGUGGAAUUCCGGGUGUAGUGGUGAAAUGCGUAGAUAUCCGGAGGAACACCAGUGGCGAAAGCGGCCUCCUGGCUCAUAACUGACGCUCAGACGCGAAAGCUAGGGUAGCAAAC